rnacentral:piRNA from 1 species
AGAGAUCUCCUGAAUAUGGCAUU